GUGAGUCUAACCUGGACGAAUUGACGGACUCAGUCGCAAAAGAUCUCAUUCAAUGGAUGCUUCAGCAUAGCAUAACGCAAAGAGCUACGGUCAAAGAAUGCCUAAAACAUCCUUACUUAAUGACGCCUGAAGAGAAUUUCAAAUUUCUCACAGCCGUUGGUAAUGAAGUGGAGAUCAAAACGAAAGAUAACAAGUCCAUUGUCGUUCAAAUGUUAAGCCAAGAAACCUCCCUUGCCACGCCAGCCUGGUGGGUAAAGAUUGAUGGAGACGUAUACAGUUACUUCAGCCGCUCUCGUACAUAUACAAGCAACCCUGCAGACCUGUUGCGAUUUAUGCGCAACGUUGAGCAACACUCGAAUGACAAUGUUCUACCAUCUGCUGUUCAACAGAAGUUUGGAACACCUCACGCGUAUUUCUUGAAAGCAUUUCCAAUACUCCCCAUGAUUGUGCACAAAAUUAUAAGAGAACACCAGCCUGACUGGUGUCAAAGAGACACUCUAAAGCAGUUCUUUUAAACAAUUUUUAAACUGUGUAACCAUUGUAAGUACUGUACGUACUGUACUUAGCCCAAUAGCGUACUAGCCUCAGAGAAUAAAACGAUACACAGGACACAUUUUUUUGAAACUUUUAGUAAAAAUCUUAAGUUGCCUCAUAAAUAUAACCUAAAGUUAGAAUAGUUUGAAUGCCCUAUUGCCCUUAAAUGUAAAUCAAUAUUGCAUUGUAUGUACACCUGUAUAUUGAAGAGUUAUGCCCCAAUCCUGUAAAUUAGCGCUGUAUUUGAAUUGCCCAGUGCCCUAGUUCUGUGAUAUAUCCUUGACAACUUAAAUUUAGACAUUAAUUGUUUUGUAUGAUUGCACUGUAAAACAAGUAACAUAGCAUAAUUGUAGUAGACUAAUAUAUAGUCUAGGCCAAAUACAAUGUGUAGUUUUAUAUAGGUAUGAACAUCAAUAAAAUUGCCAGCACAUUUAGGGCAUACAGUAGGUGCCCAUAAUAUCUUAUGAGUGCUGUUGUUUUUGCAAGGCAAUGAUUUCAACGGUGGAAAUACUUUGGUUUUAUCAUAGGGUAACUUUAUGUGAGGUUUCACUUCAGUCUAACGUUGACAGGUAUUUCUGCACGUUUAGCUGGUUUUGCAAUACUUCUCGGCCCUGGAAUACUGUAUGGUAGCAAACCU
rnacentral:lncRNA from 1 species